UACAGAGGUCUCGAGCGUUGUUCGGAUUCAUUGGGCGUAAAGGGCGCGUAGGCGGCGGGGUAAGUCUGGUGUGAAAUCUAGGAGCUCAACUCCUAAACUGCACUGGAUACUGCUCUGCUAGAGGACUGGAGAGGAGACUGGAAUUCACGGUGUAGCAGUGAAAUGCGUAGAUAUCGUGAGGAAGACCAGUGGCGAAGGCGGGUCUCUGGACAGUUCCUGACGCUGAAGCGCGAAAGCCAGGGGAGCGAACGGG
rnacentral:rRNA from 1 species